UGAGCAGGCGGCAGAUUAAGUUUGAGGUUAAAGCGUGGGGCUCAACCCCACUAAAGCCUUGAAAACUGAUCAGCUAGAGUACGAGAGAUGUGAAGGGAACUCCAUGUGUAGCGGUGAAAUGCGUAGAUAUAUGGAAGAACACCAGUGGCGAAGGCGCUUCACAAGCUCGAAACUGACGCUCAGUCACGAAAGCGUGGGUAGCAAAUA
rnacentral:rRNA from 1 species